ensembl:lncRNA
GCCUGUCUAAAAAUAAUUUGUAAAUAUCUACUCUGUGUGUCUAGCUUCAGCACGCUCCUCUCUGUCAGCUUUGUGUUCACACUUGUCAUCUGCCUCUGUUGCUGUUUUUCAUGAAAUCAUCAGCUGUGGACUAGACAAAUGAGGGAAUUCACUGAAUGAUGUGCCUCAUUCUUGCUAUACAUGACCUUUUAAAUGUGACUGUGUUUCAAGAUGCAUCACAUCCCACCACCUCAUCAUCUGCAGAGAGAAACUGCCACUCAAUCACACCAAAAUGAUGGACAUCAAGGCAUCAUCGAGCAUUGUGAAGAUAUUUCACUGGAACUUGGUCUUCAUCACAUCUAUUUUUUUAUUUUUUUUUAUUUUGUAUUUUACUUCUUUAUGUAUUUUAUUCAUGUUCAGUGUCAGUUGUCAUUU